UAUGGCCCCUGGAUUGGACUGCGGCCGAUCAGGCUGUUGGUGAGGUAAUGGCCCACCAAACCUGUAACCGGUACGGGCUCUGAGAGGAGGAGCCCGGAGAUGGGCACUGAGACAAGGGCCCAGGCCCUAUGGGGCGCAGCAGGCGCGGAACCUCUGCAAUAGGCGAAAGCUUGACAGGGUUACUCUGAGUGAUUUCCGUUAAGGAGAUCUUUUGGCAUCUCUAAAAAUGGUGCAGAAUAAGGGGUGGGCAAGUCUGGUGUCAGCUGCCGCGGUAAUACCAGCACCCCGAGUGGUCGGGACGUUUAUUGGGCCUAAAGCAUCCGUAGCCGGUUCCACAAGUCUUCCGUUAAAUCCACCUGCUCAACAGAUGGGCUGCGGAAGAUACUAUGGAGCUAGGAGGCGGGAGAGGCAAGCGGUACUCGAUGGGUAGGGGUAAAAUCCGUUGAUCCAUUGAAGACCACCAGUGGCGAAGGCGGCUUGCCAGAACGCGCUCGACGGUGAGGGAUGAAAGCUGGGGGAGCAAACCGGAUUAGAUACCCGGGUAGUCCCAGCUGUAAACGAUGCAGACUCGGUGAUGAGUUGGCUUCAUGCCAACUCAGUGCCGCAGGGAAGCCGUUAAGUUUGCCGCCUGGGGAGUACGGUCGCAAGACUGAAGCUUAAAGGAAUUGGCGGGGGAGCACCACAAC
rnacentral:rRNA from 1 species